GCCAUGUUGUGGCGGGCCGCGUUUCCCUCCUCACCUCAGGCCGUUCCCUGCGCACCGCAGGCCCUUCCCUCCUCACCUCAGGCCUUUCCCUCCUCGCAGGCCCCGAGGGGCCGGUUUCACCGCCCUCCAGGCCGACAACAACCUCAUUUAGCCUUGAAAGUCGGACGGCCGGAGCAGUAGCUGCCCUCCCGGCCGGGCGUGGAGGCACCGCUCCUGUGCAGUCGGGUCGAUCUCCACGAGGUGGCAGUGGCUCGUCACGGGAGGCUUCGGGCAAACUCCCCUCGUGUUCACCUGCCGGCCUUGCGGGCGGUGAAAGCGUGGCGGCAUCCAUCCGUGUUUAAGAAUAAAUUUGCGGACCAGUACUUUUUCGUUACUCCACACGCAUAGAUAGAAAAGCUCGGAGGUUAUGAGACGCGUAAGCGAUGUCUUUGCCAAUGCACGAGUGCUCCACUCGGGCUCGUUUGGCUCCCAGGUGAAGAAGUUGCCAGAGCUUUUCUUGGCUGUAGCGAGCAUCAGCCUGUUCACACUCACGAACGGCCAUCCUGCUGUAGCUAUAAUUUGUGACGCAACGUUUGACAGGCAAAUAUGUUGAACCAGUGUUUGUACUGUUUACUGAUUUGUCACAUCUACACUAAUGUCUUCUACUACUCUGUCUCUGAAGUCAUCAAGUGCCGCAAUGUGUAUUUUAUCUUCCUGCAUACAGCAUAUUCCCUUCAUCUUUAAUGUAUUGGGUGCUGAAUGUGGAAAACAUACAUUCAGGAACUAACCUUUCUGUAACAGAACUAUUACAUUUUUUUGUGCACCUUACCUCCCAAAGGUCAGUCUAGUGCCUUAGUGUUGAAAGCAAAACCAUCGUCACCUGCUUUCAUCUGAGUGUUCAACGCUUUUGACUCAACAGCCUGUCUUCUCCAGAUCCAGACUGUCCUCACACACAGUGGUUGUGAUACCUUUGUGGAUGCGUAGGAAUGAAUAAGAAUUGGAAUUGUAAUUGUUUUUAACUGGCAUGUAUCAAAAGUGCACUCAGAUACUUGCUUCCAUGAUCAUUAGAAAUGAGUGUGAUUUUUCUUUCGGGGUGUAUUGGAUGGGCAACAACGACAACAUCAAAAUUAUGCUAAUAGUCUUUCUGGUAGCAAGACUAACUGUGGGCCAGCUGAAAGAGUAACUAAGUUAUAAGAUUUCUGUAAGGAAGUCUGUGUUGAGGCUAUGUAGGAAAAGUGUGAACACAACAGGAAAUGGUGUGUAUAUAGCAAAAUUUUUCAUGCCACUUGGAAUAGCUGAUUUCAAGUGAUAACAUGUAUAAUGUGGCAGAACGCAGUGAGCUUAGAGUGAGUGUCUGGGAUAAAGUCAUACUGUGGGAGUAAUUUUUGCACUUCUCUGACAAUUGCCAAGGAUAAAUCUGUGUAUCUGUGACUGGCAAUAUAACAGCUUUGGUAUGUUAUCUGUAAA